rnacentral:rRNA from 1 species
GAUGAACGCUAGCUACAGGUUUAACACAUGCAAGUCGAGGGGAAACGACAUCGAAAGCUUGCUUUUGGUGGGCGUCGACCGGCGCACGGGUGAGUAACGCGUAUCCAACCUGCCCACCACUUGGGGAUAACCUUGCGAAAGUAAGACUAAUACCCAAUGAUAUCCCACGAAGGCAUCCGAAUGGGAUUAAAGAUUUAUCGGUGAUGGAUGGGGAUGCGUCUGAUUAGCUUGUUGGCGGGGUAACGGCCCACCAAGGCGACGAUCAGUAGGGGUUCUGAGAGGAAGGUCCCCACAUUGGAACUGAGACACGGUCCAAACUCCUAACGGGAGGCAGGCAGUGAGGAAUAUUGGUCAAUGGGGCGAGAGCCUGAACCAGCCAAGUAGCGUGCAGGAAGACGGCCCUAUGGGUUGUAAACUGCUUUAUAGGGGAAUAAAGUGAGCACGUGUGGUUUUUUGUCGA